GCCAUUGAGACCUGUUGUUUUGGAAACAGUACGCUGAGAAAAGCCAACCUCCAGUACGUUUGCAAGUGGGAAAGGAAGACCAUUGAGGACCCUCUGGCCAGGAGUUCUGGGGCCACAGCCUGAGAACCGCUGCUGAGGAUGGAGCCGUCUGGGGACUCCGGAGGGCAGGGGGGGGCGCUCCCUGUCGUUAGUGGGGCCCCAGUGCCUGCUGGGGGAGAUUCUUUACUCCCUUUUUAUUGCCCUAUAAAGCCCAAGGCAAGGGGGAUAUAAGGCUGGCAGGUCAGGGCCAGGGAGGGGGGUGGGAGAGAGGUGAUACUGACAUUGCUGGCAGACACAAUGAACUCUCUACUGGUCGGGGUCCUGCUCAGCACCCUACUGGGGUCUGCCCUGGGUAAGGAGGCAGCCAAGCCCUGUCUGCCUCUGCCAGCUGGCUCCUGGUCAGCCCAGGUCAAGCGCCUCUUCUCUUCUGCCAGGAACCCGCAUGCGGUGCUUCGAGUGCAAAGGAGAUUCCAGCAACUCCUGCAAAGAGACAGUGGCCACCUGCGGGGAGGGGGAGCACUGUGGCUUCCUGGAGCGCAAGCCCCAGCCUGGCCCCGGGCAGAACCAGCUGUCUGGAAACCGCUUGUGUGUUCCUUGGCCGGUCCAGCUGCGCCUGAGGGUGACAGGACAUGGAGUGUUCAUUUUCCACCUGAACUGACAAGAGGGAUGUUGGCUUCAGUCCAAAUCAGGAUCCCGCCUGGCAUUUAGUGCUCACCACGUCUUAGUCUCCUCUGAUCUGGGACAGUUCUGCGUCUUUGUCUUCCAUGACCUUGACACUUUUCAAGAGUCCCCAUAAGUUAUUUUAGAGACCAUCCCUCAAUUUACAUUUAUUUACUAUUUUCUCAUAAUUAGAUUGCAGUCAUGGAUUUUUGGCCAGAACAGCACAGCGAAGGGAGGUCGGGCCUUUUCAGCACCUUUGAAUCAGACGGCUAGCAAUGUCAGUGUUCAUUUUGGUUACUUGGUUUCAUGGAGGUGUUUUCUGGAGGGGACAGAGAAUCCCUCCGGGCUCCUGGAAGUCACAUCUGCUCUGCCCUAGAAGGCAAGUCCUCAAGCCAAGAGUCCAACACCGCAGUCUUGUUUUCUCUCUCAGCCUCAGUGACCUUGAUUCAUCACUAUCGAGCCUGUGUGGCAGCCCAUCAUUGCAAUCAAGUGGAAACGGAGUUGGUGGGAGACGUGACUUACACAACCCACAGGGAAUGCUGCGUCGGAGACCUGUGUAACAGCGCUGUGGCAAGCACCGUGGCCCCGCCAUGUGUGUUGGCUGCAGCAGCCGCCGCCCUGGCCUGGCUCUUGCCAGCACUGUGGAGAGACUAGUAGGCUGGGGCGGGAGGAGCAAGGGAGCAAGGGAACAAAGGAGAGCUGAGGUGAGAAGACAAACAACCCUCUGUGAGCCAUUAAAAUCUCUUCACCAC
rnacentral:lncRNA from 1 species